rnacentral:rRNA from 1 species
ACGGAUAUCUCGGCUCUCGCAUCGAUGAAGAACGUAGCGAAAUGCGAUACCUGGUGUGAAUUGCAGAAUCCCGCGAACCAUCGAGUCUUUGAACGCAAGUUGCGCCCGAGGCCUUCUGGCCGAGGGCACGCCUGCCUGGGCGUCACGCCAAACACGCUCCCACCCCACUAACAUGGGGCGGGAUGCGGCAUGUGGCUCCCCGUCUCGCAAGGGGCGGUGUGCCGAAGAUCUGGCUGCCGGUGUAUCGUGCCGGACACAGCGCGUGGU